rnacentral:rRNA from 1 species
GACGAACGCUGGCGGCGUGCCUAACACAUGCAAGUCGAACGGAGCUAUUGACUUCGGUUGAUAGCUUAGUGGCGAACGGGUGAGUAACGCGUGAGCAACCUGUCUUUCAGAGGGGGAUAACAACGAGAAAUCGUUGCUAAUACCGCAUAAGACCACACUGUCGCAUGGCAGAGGGGUAAAAGGAGCAAUCCGCUGAUUGAGGGGCUCGCGUCCCAUUAGAUAGUAGGUGAGGUAACGGCUCACCUAGUCUGCGAUGGGUAGCCGAGCUGAGAGGCUGAACGGCCACACUGGAACUGAGACACGGUCCAGACUCCUACGGGAGGCAGCAGUGGGGAAUAUUGGGCAAUGGGCGAAAGCCUGACCCAGCAACGCCGCGUGAGGGAAGAAGGUCUUCGGAUUGUAAACCUCUGUUCUUGGUGACGAAAAGAUGACGGUAGCCAAGGAGAAAGCCCGGCUAACUACGUGCCAGCAGCCGCGGUAAUAGUACUCU